rnacentral:lncRNA from 1 species
ACACGGAUACAUACACGAAGCGCUAAUCUCACCAGUGACCAGGCGACUGUUCUUCUUCUCCAAAGAAGAAUAUGAACAAAGCCUCAAUUUAGCCCAAAUCCAAGCGAGUGAGUCUCAAAUCCCUCCUCAUGCGUUCAUGCUUCUCUCCUCAUCACUAUCUCUAACCGUUUCUGAUGUGAUUAUUCUCAUUCCCUUCACUCGCUCGAUUUUGAGAUAAGGCACGUGAUUGGAAGCUUCUGAGACGGAUUUGCUGGAUGAGUGUGAGGCGUUGGAUUGAUUUCAUUCAAUCCAAGCCCCACAUUCAUCAGGAAUUCAUUCUAAAAAGGUAUUUUGAAUGGAUUUCGGAGGGGUCGGUUUUUUAGAGGGAUAUUUUGGGAGAGAGGAUUUUGGAGAAAGGUCUGUAGUUUUGUUUUUUUUUUUCGAAAAUAUGGGUUGGAGAGAUAGCCUUAUUCUUCUCAUCGUUUGCCUUCAUUCUUAGUUGAACUCGAGAAAAAGAAAAAAAAUAUAGAAAAAUGUUCAUUGUUCAGUGAUUUAAGGGUUGUUUGGUAUUGUUUACAAGCUUCAAAACAUAUGAAUUUCGUCUUUUCUUUCAGUCUGAAUUUGUAAAAAACGAAGUUCGAUUGAGAGAUAGGUGAACUCGUUAUUGCUCAAGGCGUCGAUUCGUAGCUGUAGUUGCUCUGUGUUGAUUUCAGUAUUAAGACUAGUCUGAUUUUCGUCCCAGGUUUUAUUCUGCUUUUCCUCUUAUUUUGUUGUGAAGUGAGCCAUGGAUGGACUAUAAAACAAUUUUAGUUAAAACAAUAGAUGAGGCUUGUAUGGUUAUCUGUGAUUUCAUUUACUGUUCUGCUCUACUUUAUGAUUGUCACAUGAAUCUGAAUCAGUAGUGUAUAUCCUCAUGGUUUUCCACUUGGUUAUCUGAUUCUCUAAUAGGAAUGAUUUCUGGUAAUCGUUCUGUUCUCUUCUUUUGAACAAGCAUAGCAGCUUGUGCUUGGAUUUUGCUGUUAUUGAAGCGUGAACACAUGACCCUAGGAAGGUUAGAAUGGCUGCUAUAUUGACAUCGCACUUAGUGUUUAACCUUUGUUCUGAUAUGUUUAUUGGGAGUUGAAUUAGUGUCUUUGUUUAGGAGAUUUGAGAACAUUCGUUUGUCUAUCAAUUUGUUAACCAAAUCUGUGUUGAAAGUGAGACAUGUGUAGUUUUUUUGAUAGCUCACGGCUGGAAUUAAACUGUCGUGUGGUUGCCAAAUGAAUGGCGAGUCGAUAAGCUGCUCAUUUAUGCUUUCCCUGACUAUGCUAUUUUGGUUCCAUCAAGCUCGAGUUUGUCAUUGUUCUGUUAUUGUUCUUCCCGUGCUCAAUGAGCCUGCUUUCUGGACAGAUUUGACAUUUUCUUUAGCUCAUUGUAAGAUCUUAACAAGCAACCUGUGAUUCGUCCUCUUGCCAGCAUGUGUAUCAGUUAACGAGGAGAAAAGAAUUUGUUUGGAAAUAUUAGAACUAGCAAUGAGAGCCUCCCGUGUAGUCCAGUCCAAAGAAGAAAAUUAUCUCGAUGACAUUUCUAAAUUCUAAGUUUCUGCUCUCUUUCUUUAAGUGCAAAAGGUUUUCCAUAAGUUGAUCAAACUAAGUGUAUAAAAGGUUGUAUGACAGGUCUUCUGCUCCUAGCACUAGAUUAUGGAGCUUCUUGUUCUAGUUACUCUUUGAUUGUUAUGAUCAGAAUUGUCAAAAGCUCUUGCAGAGAGCUAACUUUCUCAUAGAGUAACUUCAUGUGUUCUUUGUGGCGCUCCCGUGGCUCAAAGUUGGAUUGUAAAAUAGGUGUAAUAUGCUUUAGCUACUGAUGGCUCGAUUAAUAGUGAUUCUGCCUCAUUCUUAGAUUGAAACUGUAAUACUUUUAGCUUCCCAGUAGCUGGAAGCUGAUGCUAUUUUCAAACGAGAGGUCUCUGUGAAGUGUUAGGAUCAUUUUGACUAUGUCCGCUCCAAGGCAGAUUUUGCGCGCGCUAAUUUGAAAUCCACGAGUCAAGCUUCUAAUUAACCUUAAGUGUUUGUUGUUGUGAUUAACAUUCCUGCUAGGCGUGUCUAUCUGUGCAAUGGUUCAUGUGCAUCAGCUAUUUUUGUUUUUUUGU